UUUCUUCUCCUGUACAAGUGCUCAAAAUGGCUCAAGGUACAUUUCCCAGCAUUCUCAAUGAGGUUCCUGAAGACUCGCAAAGGGAACCUGCUUUAACAGUGGGCUGGAUUCAGUGAUCUCCAAAGGACUCUUCCAACCCCUAUGGUUCAGUUAAAAAAAAAAAAAAUCAGAUGAAGAUCUGUGAGAAUGCAAGAAAGACUAUAAGACUAUUCAGAGCAGAAGCCAUGGAGCAAGAUAUACAGUACAAGAGCUCAACGCUGAGAACCAAGGGCAUCUCCAGAAGAAGAGAAAAGCAAAGUCAAGUAAACUGUGUGAUGGCUGAGUGUUGAUGACCCUGAUUAGAGAUAAGGAGCGUGGCUAGGAACAGCUCAUGACUCUGACUGGAUAAGCACUUGCAUGCAUGGUUACGGAGUGUUUGUGGAAUAUUUUGUUGACAUGUAAAGGUGGAUGGGAAAGUUAAGAGAAAACUUGUGAGUGUAUAUAAGUGAUGUUAGAACCUGUAAUAAACAAUUUGGAUUGUUCACAUCUGAGUCUGUGCCUCAGAUGCUGCAUAGACCUAUGUAGAAUUUUGUAGAUUUUGCAUGUUUUGGGAGCUAUGGAGAAAAACAAAGCACUAAAAUUCCUUUCUUUGAUUUCUUGUGGGUUUUUUUAUUAUAUUUUUAACCUACAGCAGUACUGAAUGACUUUUCUUGUGUAUUAUUGUCCCUUAGAUUUGAUACAGAAAAGCUUCUCUAAUGAGAUCUCAAUUUGGAGAUGAGCAUUAAGAACUAGUACAGAUUGCAUUCUUUUCUAGGUCUCUCUCAUACAAGCUCUUACAAAGUUGCCUGGGAAUUCUUAUGUCUUCCAGUGCUAGCCCCACAGUUUUAGCAAUGCUGAUGUAAUAACUGCAUUUGUUUGUUUACCUUCUUAUCAUGAGCAAGAAAACAACUGAAGAAAUUUCUUAAGUUUUAACACAUCAUAACAUAGAGACAAUAUUAUUUAGUAUGUAUUUCUCAGACUACUGUCUUUGAGAACUGCAACAGAUAAUAAAUAUCAAAAUCAUAGAAUCACAGACUAUCCUAUAGUGUUGGAAGGUAACCACAGGGAUCAGUGAGUCCAACUUCUGGCUUCACAAAGGAUGAAACACUAGAUAUAGUUCCAUAAUAGAAACCUUUUGUUUACAAAAUUUUUCUCAUUUCUUUGCAACUUCAGAUUUGAUUCUAUUGACAGUUUUAUAAAUGUCUGAAUGCCAUAAUGAAUUACUUUCAUGUUUUCAAUCCAAUACCAUCUGUUAUUUUCUACUAUUAAUACAUAUUACAUAGUGUAAAACAUUUGAAAAUUGUUGAAUAUUGCUAUAGUUGCACCAGAGAUCUGCUAAUCAAAUGAAUUAUGCUAUCCUGUCUGUUUGUGGGACUAUUGAGUGAUGUCCAAUAAAGAGAAAUAUGUGGCAUU
ensembl:lncRNA